UAUUGAAUGAGUUACAAAAAUAUGUGAGUUUUUUGCGUGUGGUCUGUGAAUAUAAUAAAAUUUAGGAGGUACUCGUUAUGAUGAACGGUACUGUAAAAUGGUUUAACUCUGAUAAAGGCUUUGGUUUCAUUACUCCUGCUGACGGCAGCGAAGAUGUAUUUGUACAUUUUUCCGCUAUCGUAAGCGACGGCUUCAAAACUCUUGAAGAAGGUCAACCUGUAACAUUUGAUACAGAAGCUGAUCCGAAAAACAGCCGCAGAAUGCGCGCUGCUAACGUUCGCGUAGCUUAAUCUAAACCAUAAAAGCCUGCUCUUUUUGAGCAGGCUUUUUUU
rnacentral:other from 1 species